CUAGUUGGUGAGGUAACGGCUCACCAAGGCGACGAUCAGUAGCUGGUCUGAGAGGAUGAUCAGCCACAUUGGGACUGAGACACGGCCCAAACUCCUACGGGAGGCAGCAGUGGGGAAUAUUGGACAAUGGGCGCAAGCCUGAUCCAGCCAUGCCGCGUGAGUGAUGAAGGCCCUAGGGUUGUAAAGCUCUUUUGUGCGGGAAGAUAAUGACGGUACCGCAAGAAUAAGCCCCGGCUAACUUCGUGCCAGCAGCCGCGGUAAUACGAAGGGGGCUAGCGUUGCUCGGAAUCACUGGGCGUAAAGGGUGCGUAGGCGGGUCUUUAAGUCAGGGGUGAAAUCCUGGAGCUCAACUCCAGAACUGCCUUUGAUACUGAGGAUCUUGAGUUCGGGAGAGGUGAGUGGAACUGCGAGUGUAGAGGUGAAAUUCGUAGAUAUUCGCAAGAGCACCAGUGGCGAAGGCGGCUCACUGGCCCGAUACUGACGCUGAGGCACGAAAGCGUGGGGAGCAACCAGGAUUAGAUACCCUGGUAGUCCACGCCGUAAACGAUGAAUGCCAGCCGUUAGUGGGUUUACUCACUAGUGGCGCAGCUAACGCUUUAAGCAUUCCGCCUGGGGAGUACGGUCGCAAGAUUAAAACUCAAAGGAAUUGACG
rnacentral:rRNA from 1 species